AAAUACGGACGACAAUUCAAAAUAUAUCAAAGUUACAAUACAAAGUAUGUUGUUACGUGUCAUUGGGCAUUUUUAAGCGGGUAUUUGAAAAUCCUGGAGC